ensembl:lncRNA
GCAGUUAACACAGUCUGUGCUGGUUUCUUUAGUCAGUGAUUCAAGCUCAGAUUUGUCUUUUUGUUAAAGGGUGAUAGGGUUGAAGCAACAGGAUGAGAGAUCUCAAGCAUGCUACUGAAUGUUGUGCUCUGACAAAACGCCAUAGCUUCCUUUAUCAAGACAGCUGUGUUUUUAAAUAAAUGAUCUUAAUUUGGCCUGCAGAAGGAUUAUGCCUGAUACUCAAAUGUAAUACCUUGAAAGGUCACCUUGACUUCCUCAAGAAGUUUAAUUCAAGGCAUUCAGGAUGCCAGACCAGAAGGCCUCCCAGACUGAGAUCAUCUAGAAACUCCAUUCUAUCUGAACUACAGAAAGUCUAGGGAAGAAAAAAAAAAAACUUUAGCAGGGUAAACUCUGCAACAAGCUUAAAAGAAUUCCAAGAGCAAGAUGUAAAUUCUUCAGCCAAUGGAGUUUGUGGCAUAUAUUCAACAUCUAUUGUUACAACUAAGACAGACUGAUCUGAGCUGAAAAUAUCAAUAACAGGAAUUGCUGGAACAACAUAAGCCUGCUUUGUAUGCACAUCUUGUGCUGCUGGGGAGCCACUCCUACCUCACAAUUUGAUUUGACACCAAGUUCUCCAGCAGAAAGGAGACACAUCUGACAGAAGGGCAGCCCAUGGAAAGACAAAACUGUCAAAGAAAGAAGGAAGCGAAAACAAUCCAACUGAGCAUUUCCUUGCAAUGCAUCCUUUCCCUGGGAAGACAAGAAACUGCAUUUCAGCUGCUGUAGAAAAAGCACAAGCCAGAUGUGGAGUUCAAUGCCAGUGCAUCGACUAACAGGACAAAAAAUGUGCACAGGAGGUGUCAAACCCCAGAAUGCAGCAGCACAGAGGAGCUGAAGGGGUUCUUUCUUCUCCUCCACUUGGGUGCUUCAAGCAGUGGAGCUAAUGCAGCUCCAUUGGCGGAGCAGAUGAGCAUGGCAUCCUUAAUGCCCUGUGGCCUAGCAGAUUAAUUGUGCAACCAUUGUCCUCCCACUUUUCCUGCAUAUUAAAUUGGAGCUAAUGAGUCAUUAUCUGUGGUCUGCUUGGAAGAAUGAGUUGUUUGUUCAGCACUUUGAAAUCGUAAAUCAAUAUAUACUGCAAACGUGAUGUGCCGCCUACAACUUCAUUCAACAGAGAGCAGCAUUGGACAGGAAAAAAUGAUGUAUCACCCUGGCUCUUAAUGCUGCCCUCUGCAGAAUCUGGUGAUGCGGGUGACUCCUGGGUGUCUGUCUGGAGAGCAAGUAUGAUGGAAGGGGGCUUAUUCACCAUCUCCUGUGGGCAAAGUGAGCAAACCUAAAUGAAGUAAGAGGAAGAUAUAAAUGGUGAUCACCUGAAUCAUUCUGACAUCCAUAGAGUUACUAUUCAUUUAGUAAGCCAAUGACACAAGUAUUUCCUUUGGUACUCCAAGGUUCUCUCCAGGCAUAUCAGGCAGUAUUUUCAGACAAGCACUUAAAAAAAAAAAAAAAAAAAAAAGGGAAAAAAGUCACAUUCUGUGGCUACUUCUUAGGAUUGCCUUAAAUGUUGUCUUUAGAAUUCAAGGAAGUUUAGGAAAAAAAUCUAUUUUUCUUUCUGACAUAGCAUUUUCUGAGAUAGGUUGCAGCAGCUUUCAGGGCUCCCUGGAGUGCAGCAUUUUGAGAGAUAUAGCAUUUCCAGGCUCUGUUCAGCGCCACACCACCCCCUGUGCUUCUCCUCCUUCACUCCAGGGUUCUUCCCAGGGAUGCUCUGAAAAUAGAGAAGAUUUACCACCUGUAGGACUGCAGCUGGUACUGAAAGACUGCUGGAAAGAAAAAAAAAAAAAAAAAAAAGCAAAUAAGGUUCACUGUAUUCACAUUUUGCCAGUUCUCUUCAACAAUUGACAAGUCCUAACAAAUCUCUGUAUCAGUAUUUCUAAGAUAUAGUUGCAAGAAGCUGCGCUUAGGUUUCGGUUUCCAGGAUUAACUGCCUUUUUAUUUUCUGCUCAUGCUGUAAGCAUAACGCUCCAGGUUAAGGGCUUAAAACAGAAUUUACAGUGAAUCCAGAGCAUAUACUCAUUUGUGUGACUUUGUAAUUGUAAUUCUGAAUGCAAAAAUGUUACCCUUCCUUUUCCUGUGGUUUGCAAUGACGUGUGACAGUAAGCAGUGUGACCAAGACUGAAAUUCAUUAUAUGCAGUCCACCUCACCUUACCCAAAAUACGUGGAUGACUGUUAAAAUACCAUAAUUAUGCACAAAGGAGAAAGAAAGAGGGAGAGUGUGUUUUUUUUCUUUUUUUUCUUCUCCUUUUUUUCUUUUUUAAUUUAUAUCAGGC